rfam:Asian citrus Psyllid, Diaphorina citri - Florida Strain, whole genome shotgun sequence.
CGGUGCGGCAAUAGCACCCUGAGGGCACCAGUUCCCAAUGGUUCACUGAAGUAAAGAAACGUUUUGCCUGGUAGGUACCUAGAUGGGUGACCAUCUGGGCAGUCGUGUGCUAGCCUUUC